UGGAAUGCAGGAUCUGCCACACCAAAAC
rnacentral:piRNA from 1 species